AGCGUUUGUCCCUAGAUGAGCGCAUCAUAGUGUGGCGGUGAAGGGAAUUGCUAUUUGUCAAGUAUACUAUGACGAUUGAGAAGUACAACACAGAUCUCUCCCUGCUGACAAAGAGAUGUGAGGAAAUGAAGAAACUCUAUACUGACAUAUUGGCUAAAUUCGGAGAGCCAAUGGAUCAAGAUUCUCAGGAGCUGUUUGGAUUGGUGUGCCAGUUUGUCAACGACUUCAAGAGGACACAUGCUGAAAUCAGAUAACAAUAUUUGCUGUCCUUGAGAUACUAUCUAUGUAAAUUCAGCCAGUCUAAAUAGAAUUUAGUUAUAAUUUGUGUACCACACAAGCUGUGCUAUUUCAGUAGUAAAAAAACCCUGGCAUUCUACUGAGAAACAUAACUCACAGCUGUGACUAAUAUUAUGAUCAGGCGGCUAGACUUGAGUAUUGCAAUUUCAGUAGGAAAACAUUUUAGUGUAUAGUACUAUGCUGAAAUUAGAACAAGUCUACACUGAGUGUACAAAACAUGCUCUUACUAUGACAUAGACUUACCAGGUGAAUCCCGGUGAAAGCUCUGAUCCCUUAUUGAUGUCACUUGUUAAAUCCACUUCAAUCAGUGUAGAUGAAAGGGAGGAGACAGGUUAAAGAAGG